rnacentral:tRNA from 1 species
GCCGCGGCGUAGCUCCGUGGCAACGCGUCCGCUUUGCAGGCGGCGGACCCGGGUUCGAUUCCCGAGAGCGGCA